GAGCUUCAGUAUUAAAAUGGAAAACUUGCAGCCUUUGCGAUAAGGAGGCUUUUUGUUACCCUUCAACAAGUGUCACGAUGGCAUGGAUAAAAGCAGGCUUUGGGGAGCAGAAAUGUACUUGGCGCUGUGAGAGUUGUCAGCCUUCUGCCAAGCUAAUCAAUUAACUUAUCACUUAAAAUAA
rnacentral:misc_RNA from 1 species